rnacentral:rRNA from 1 species
AUGGAGCGCUGCCGGACCUCCUCUCGUCCGCCGCAGCCCCAGCCCGCUCCCGCCCCGGCCCCAAUCCCAGGCCGUGGAAUAUGCAUGAUGAGCACCGUGUGGAGAGACAAGCAGGACCACCACCUUAUCAACUUCAUUGGCGCGUUCCUGGCCGCCAACUCGUAUCGCCUGAACUUCCUGUCGAUAUCUCCUGACUUCAUCUUCAACAAUGGGGGGCUAUCAGUUGCUUUCAUCUUUGAGACGAGCUGGGACUGUGGGAAUGCAGCUGCUGUUUUUAGCAGGGUGAAUGCACUGAAGAGGCAGUUCAAAAAUCUCUAUGUCGUUGUUGCUGUUCCUACAGUGGAGCAAAUGGAAUCGUUUACUCAGUCUUAUUUCAAGUAUGGCAUGGAGCUUGGCUGCCCUACAUUUGUGCCUGUUAACGAUCCAGAGAUGGGAUUUGAGAUGAUGCUCAAAAUUGCUCAUGCCUGUGGAGUCUGCAAGCAGCAGGACAUUAGCUCAACAAUGAGGAAUGAGCGGGAGGAAGCAGUUCAGUCCAUGGAUGCCUAUAUACGAGUGCUCACCUCUAUUCCUGGUAUUGAUGAUCACGAUGCCAAUAUGCUUGCCCAAGCUAUUGGCUCCAUUGAAGCAAUUGCAAAAGCAUCCGAGAGUUCUAUCCUAGAAAGCACUGACCUCUCCAGGGAUAAGGCAGAGACAAUUGUCAGGUUCUUCAGGGAUCCGCAGUUCUACUUAAGCCCUAAAAUCAACUAA